rnacentral:rRNA from 1 species
UGUCAUCAUCACGGGCCAACCGCGAUGGCGCAUCAGCCAUCGCUGAUGCCGCCGCCAGCUCCCAAGACGACAUCUCUCCAUCAUGCAUGGUCGUCUCUGCAUGCAGAUUUGGUUCGUCUACUCGGCUGGCAGGUGCUGGCCGGAGAUAUACUAGACUAUGUCCGAUUUCGUGUCGUGUGCGCCCACUCGCGGUCCAGCACCAUCGCCCCGCGGAGCCAUGGCAUCGUCGACCCACGCUUCCACCCCAAGAGGUGGUUCCUGCUGCCCGAGGGUCACGGCCUUCAGCCUGCUGACGUCAAGAAACGUUUCUUCAAUCUCUGCACAGGAGUUUUCGUCCGUGCCUGGCUUCCCUUCUUAAGCGAUAGCUAUGUCCUUGACUCGGCCAAUGGCCUCCUCCUCUUGCAACGGAAAAGCCAAGACACCUCCGCGAUCCGGGUCCUUCACCCUUUCACUGGCGACUUUGUGGAGCUACCACCGCUCAUGUCCCUUGUAAGAGCCAACUUGGAUAUGUCCGAUGGCACAGGACGGGUUGAUUUCCGUAGUGUCACAUCCAUUAGCGUAACUGUUGAUGGAUUCGUCGCAGUCAUGAUCAAGCUUUACAAUAUAUCACGUGUAUUCUUUGCUACUACUAAGGACCAGCACUGGAGUGUCUCGACUUGGAAUAUCGGAUGGUACUCCGAGACAAUAUCAUCCCAAGGGAAAUUGUUUGUGUUGGAUUCUCCCACCACACAUCACCGUGAACAACAUAUUCUCCAGAUCGAUCCACCCCGCCUUGAUCAUCACGCCAUGUCAUCUUAUUUGUUGCCACCAAGGUUGAUUGCCACGUGUCCCACUAACAAAAUUUCUGCCAUGUUCUACAUGGAAGAAUGUGUCUCGGAGAUCCUAGUGAUUGGUCACGACGCUAACCCACUUUUCAAGGGCCGCAUGCUCGUCUACAAAGUAGCCGAUCUUAUCAUGGGCAAGGUUGUCCCGGUAACAAGCAUCGAAGGUAAUACUCUCUUCACUACUAUUGACCAUGGAAUUAGCAUCGACGACGAUGAUAUCUCUGUUUAUGUGAGGGAGACUAUUGCUGUGAGUUACAAGGUCAUACCUACUGCUGUGGGCGACACCAUUGUACGUCGUCGGCAUCUCAAGGAUAAUUCUCCUUUGUACUACGACCUCUCUAGCGGCGAAUGGUCC